UGGUAGUAAAAGCAGGUCCUCGGCCAUCUCAGCCUAGGCUGGAGGAGCAGGGUGGAGGCCAGGCUCCUCGGACCCUGCGGGCGCUGGUUGGUCAGCAGGGCUCGUACCCAGCCGAGCUCCCUGGGGAGUUGGCCUGCUCUCCGACCUCUCCUGAGUGGCCAGGAUCUAGAUCUGCUGAAAGAUGUAAUUUGAUAGGGGAGUAGGGGCUCCAUGUUGGCUUUUGUUUCCAGCAGCUACUUCUGGAGGGCCCCGCAUCUCAAAGGUCUCAGAUGCCUCUGCUCCCAUAUUCGCCUCCGUUCCUGCAUUCAGUGACUCGGCUUUGCUGGGACCAUGGGAUACCCUGGACCUGGAGGAUGCCAGGUGAUUCUGCAGCCCACUGAUGGUUGAGAACUGCUGUUGUAAAUAAGAAUGAGAUUGCCAAGAUCUGGAGUGUGAGUUACUCUAGAAGCAUCUUACAGAAAAGCCUGGGGGUGGGUAGGUUGCUUCUAGCAGGCCUUUUGGAUUGUACCUGAUGACUUAGAACAGUGGUUCUUAACGUGGGGUCCCAGGACCAGGAACUUGACCAUAACCUGGAAACCUGUUGGAAGAGCCACUUCCCAGGCUCAGUCAAACCAACUGAAGCAGAGACUUGGGGGGUGGUGCCCAGCGGUCUGCAGUUUGACCAGCCCGCAGGUGAUUCUACUGCAAACACAGGUUCGAGAACUGCUGGUUUAGGGCCCAUCGAUGACACCUGCAGCCAACUCUGCACCUCAGGGCAGGGGGUGGGGUGGGCGGAGCGGGGACAGGUCUGCUCCCCUCCACCUGUACCGUAUUUUGACUGGGUUCAUUAUCAGAUGCAAAUCCAUUCAUGCAGCCAAUAUUAAUCAAACCUCUACUAUAGCUGGAGAUGCCACGGUGGGCAGAUUAGACAAGGAUCGUGUCCUCCUGGGACGGACAGUCCAUUGGGGAGGACAGAUAUUAUUUCAAAACAAUAGCCUGGAAAUAAGAAACGGGAAACUGCUGUGCAGGAAAAAUAGCCUAUUCUGGGGGAUUGGACCUCCUUUAAGGGGACAGCCUUCCCCAAGGAAGUGACUUUUGAGCUGGGACCUCAAGAUGAGUAGGAGUUAGUGGGUUAGGGGUGUUUGUGAGAGAAAAGAGUGUCAGAUACGGGAAGGGCAGGUGUAGAGGCUGUGCAGGGGGUGACAGAGGCCAGUGUGGUGGGAGUAGGGGGGCGGUGGACCCUGCACAGGCCUCAGCAGAGCAGGGAGCAGCUGUAGUGGCCAUGGUGUGUGUGUGCGCAUGCGUGUGCACACACACCCUAUUGAUAGUAGGUAUAUGUAGUGGUGUGUACGGGGCUGUAGUGCGCAUAUAUAUGUAUAAAUGUGUGUGCAUGUAGUGUAUAUGUCAGAUGUGUAUUACAUAAUGCAUAGAGCAGUAUAUGUAUAUAUGGUGGCUACAGUAGUGUGGCCCCUGGGGCUCACUGGUUAGCUUCUAGUCUGAUCACAACCCCCCAUUAUGCCCUAGACAUGAUCUGGCCUCACUGCCAACUCCACUACCUUGCUGCUUUUCUCCCACCAAGUUCACCUCAUUGUGUAAUAAAGACAGCCCCCAGGAAAAGCCCAGAUCGGAUUAGCACAGGGGGGACUGUUAUUUCUUCUCCCUGGGGAUCCACAGCUUCAAAAAGAUGCUGCUGCCCCAGGCCCUCUCUUUAAAUCAGCAACAACCUAGGCAGACCAACCCCACUGCUCAGGAAACGGGGCUGGAGUCAGUGCUCUGAAAAUGCAGAGGUACUGGGUAAGAAAGAAAAGUUGAUGAGUCUCAAAAGCUCCAACAGAAAACUAGAAUUUAUUGAUUUUUUUUUUCCCACCUAGCCCUCUAGAACUCAGAUUUCUCAAAUUGCUAUUAAAAACUGCUCAAAUGCAAAUACUGUAGUAUUUCAUCUUCCUGGAGUAUUUUACUUUGUCAGGAGAUGAAGUGGGUGGAUCUUUUCCUCCUCUAAAAGUCUUUGAAUCAAACUUUAAGGCUCUGAAUUUUGAGCUCCUAAGAGUUAGGUGCAAUGCCAAGUUCUAAGGAAUCCCUCAGGGAAGUCGCAGAGAGGCAAAAGAGUGGUCAGAAAUUCCCAGGAGCCCACAGAAAGCACUCACAGACACGCCUGAAUGAAAUAUGUGAGGAGGACCUCCUGCUGUGGUGCAACGGGAUGGACGACAGCCAAUUGGGAGACCCUGGGACACAGGUUCGAUGCCCGGCACAGUGGGUUAGGUUGCAACUGUGACUCCAAUCCCUGGCCCAGGAGCUCCAUAUGCUGAAGGCCAAAAAUCACCCCCCCCCAAAAAAAGAAAUAUGUGAGUAUUUGGGAAGGAGGAUAAUAACUCUGAUGUGUGUGUGUGUCGGUAAUAAAGGAAGCAUCUUUCCUUCUGGAGAGAAUAGGGAACUGGAUCUUGGCAAGCUCGAUUUCCUCCAUUGUUUUGAGUUGCCCUUUGAACCCACAGGAUGUGGAGGGGAGGGGGGGAGAGCCUGCCGAAGGAAAUUUCUGUGGCUUCUGUGCUUGAAAGGGUGAUACAAGCAAGGAGAACAAAGAGUGAGGCAAAGCUGCCGAAAGAUGCUAAAACAAAAAGUACUGGAGACGCGAUAAGGCAGGAAUCACCUGUUACUUCUUAGGUUUGAGAGGGCUUUUCUGUAGGGAAUCACGUGGUAAAAGACAAAUGGGUGGAAACUCAUCAUUGAAAAUAAUCCAUUGAUGGAGUUCACCUCGUGGCUCAGCAGAAACAAAUCUGACCAGCAUCCAUGAAGACAGGUGUUCAAUCCCUGGCCUUGCUC